UACGAAGGGGGCUAGCGUUGUUCGGAAUCACUGGGCGUAAAGCGCACGUAGGCGGAUCUUUAAGUCAGGGGUGAAAUCCCAAGGCUCAACCUUGGAACUGCCUUUGAUACUGGGGAUCUCGAGUUCGGGAGAGGUGAGUGGAACUGCGAGUGUAGAGGUGAAAUUCGUAGAUAUUCGCAAGAACACCAGUGGCGAAGGCGGCUCACUGGCCCGAUACUGACGCUGAGGUGCGAAAGCGUGGGGAGCAAACCGG
rnacentral:rRNA from 1 species